CAGAGACCCGCCCCGGCCCGCAGGACACCCCCUCGGAACGCGCGGCCCCCGGCUAAGUCAUGUUUAACAGCCUCAGAAAUUAUCUUGUCUCCGCGUUCUUUCUUCUGCCGGCGAGCCAGUGUCAUUUGUGGAUUAUUAAAGAAACCUCUCCAUACCUGAUGCAUAAAGAUAGUUAAGGAGUUGAUCACACUUAACAAUAUGUGCAGGCAGGACCGAAAAAAGGUGUGGUGCCUUCCAGCCCAUAAAUCAAAGUUUUCUCUUGUCACUGCCGUGUAAGAAGUGCCUUUUGCC
rnacentral:lncRNA from 1 species